GAUAAGACCUGUGUUUAUCUAAAACACAUCUCCUGAAUGCAACCCAGACAC
rnacentral:tRNA from 1 species